GACGUAGGGGGCAAGCGUUGUCCGGAAUCAUUGGGCGUAAAGAGCGUGUAGGCGGCCCGAUAAGUCCGCUGUGAAAGUCCAGGGCUCAACCCUGGAAUGCCGGUGGAUACUGUCGGGCUUGAGUACGGGAGAGGCGAGUGGAAUUCCUGGUGUAGCGGUGAAAUGCGCAGAUAUCAGGAGGAACACCGAUUGCGAAGGCAGCUCGCUGGAACGUUACUGACGCUGAGACGCGAAAGCGUGGGGAGCAAACAGG
rnacentral:rRNA from 1 species